UUACGUCGCGUCACGAGUCGAACGGCUGGCGGGCGUGCUUAACACAUGGCAAGUCGAACGGGGCCUGCCUGGCGUUUUGGUUGGGUGGGUGGAGUGGCGAACGGGUGAGUUAACACGUGAGUUAACCUGCCCUCUUUCUCUUUGGAUAACUGCCUGAAAGGGCGGUUAAUACGGGAUGUUCUGGCUGCCUCGCAUGGGGUGGUUUGGAAAGAUUCGGCCUGGUUUUGGUUGUUUUGUGGGGGAUGGGCUCGCGGCUUAUCAGCUUGUUGGUGGGGUGAUGGCCUACCAAGGCGGUGACGGGUAGCCGGCCUGAGAGGGUGGACGGUCACACUGGGACUGAGACACGGCCCAGACUCCUGCGGGAGGCAGCAGUGGGGGGAUUUUGCACAAUGGGCGCAAGCCUGAUGCAGCGACGCCGCGUGAGGGAUGGAGGCCUUCGGGUUGUGAACCUCUGUCGCCGGUGAUGUAGGCUCUGCUUUGUGGGUGGGGUUGACGGUAGCCGGGGUAUGAAGUGCCGGCUAACUACGUG
rnacentral:rRNA from 1 species